UGAGAGAGCAAAAUUCAAACGAUUCAAGA
rnacentral:piRNA from 1 species